rnacentral:rRNA from 1 species
GACGAACGCUGGCGGCGCGCCUAAAACAUGCAAGUCGAACGAGAAGCCCGGGCUUGCCCGGGUGGACAGUGGCGAACGGGUGAGUAACACGUGAGGAACCUGCCCCGAAGACCGGGACAACACAGGGAAACCGGUGCUAAUACCGGAUGCCUUCACCGGAUCGCAUGGUCUGGUGAAGAAAUGGAUUCCGCUUCGGGAUGGCCUCGCGGCCUAUCAGCUUGUUGGUGAGGUAACGGCUCACCAAGGCAACGACGGGUAGCUGGUCUGAGAGGAUGUCCAGCAACACUGGGACUGAGACACGGCCCAGACUCCUACGGGAGGCAGCAGUUAGGAAUCUUGCGCAAUGGACGAAAGUCUGACGCAGCGACGCCGCGUGCGGGAUGAAGGCCCUCGGGUUGUAAACCUCUUUUAGCAGGGAAGAAGCGAAAGUGACGGUACCUGCAGAAAAAGCACCGGCUAACUACGUGCCAGCCGCCGCAGUAACAC